GAUGAACGCUGGCGGCGCCUAAUACAUGCAAGUCGAGCGAACAGACGAGGAGCUUGCUCCUCUGACGUUAGCGGCGGACGGGUGAGUAACACGUGGAUAACCUACCUAUAAGACUGGGAUAACUUCGGGAAACCGGAGCUAAUACCGGAUAAUAUAUUGAACCGCAUGGUUCAAUAGUGAAAGACGGUUUUGCUGUCACUUAUAGAUGGAUCCGCGCCGCAUUAGCUAGUUGGUAAGGUAACGGCUUACCAAGGCAACGAUGCGUAGCCGACCUGAGAGGGUGAGCGGCCACACGGGACCUGAGACACGGUCCAGCCUCAUGCGGGAGGAAGAAGGGGGGAUGCGUCCGCAGGGGGCAAGAGCCGGACGAACCAACGCCGCGGGAGUAAAGAAGCUCUUGGGGUCGAAAAACUUUUUUAUUGGGGAAGAAAAAAUGUAAAAAGAAAUAUGCGCGUCUGGAGGAGCCCUAAUAAAAAGACCGGGGCUAGCUGCGUC
rnacentral:rRNA from 1 species